rnacentral:rRNA from 1 species
CGCCUGGGGAGUACGGGUGAGGUAACGGCUCACCAAGGCGACGACGGGUAGCUGGUCUGAGAGGACGAUCAGCCACACUGGGACUGAGACACGGCCCAGACUCCUACGGGAGGCAGCAGUAGGGAAUCUUGCGCAAUGGGCGAAAGCCUGACGCAGCAACGCCGCGUGGGGGAUGAAUGCCUUCGGGUUGUAAACCCCUUUCAGCAGGGACGAAAAUGACAGUACCUGCAGAAGAAGCUCCGGCCAACUACGUGCCAGCAGCCGCGGUAAUACGUAGGGAGCGAGCGUUGUCCGGAAUUAUUGGGCGUAAAGAGCUCGUAGGCGGUUUGUCGCGUCUGCUGUGAAAAUCCGAGGCUCAACCUCGGACCUGCAGUGGGUACGGGCAAACUAGAGUGCGGUAGGGGAGAUUGGAAUUCCUGGUGUAGCGGUGGAAUGCGCAGAUAUCAGGAGGAACACCAAUGGCGAAGGCGCCGCUCUGGGCCGUAACUGACGCUGAGGAGCGAAAGCGUGGGUAGCAAACAGGAUUAGAUACCCUGGUAGUCCACGCCGUAAACGUUGGGCACUAGGUGUGGGUCUCAACCAACGAGAUCCGCGCCGUCGCUAACGCAUUAAGUGCCCCGCCUGGGGAGUACGG